rnacentral:rRNA from 1 species
UGUGGCUGGGGGUGAAAGGCCAAUCAAACCGGGAGAUAGCUGGUUCUCCCCGAAAUCUAUUUAGGUAGAGCCUCGGACGAAUUCCAUUGGGGGUAGAGCACUGUUAAGGCUAGGGGGUCAUCCCGACUUACCAACCCUUUGCAAACUCCGAAUACCAAUGAGAACUAUCCGGGAGACACACGGCGGGUGCUAACGUCCGUCGUGGAGAGGGAAACAACCCAGACCGCCAGCUAAGGUCCCAAAAUAUUGCUAAGUGGGAAACGAUGUGGGAAGGCAUAGACAGCUAGGAGGUUGGCUUAGAAGCAGCCACCCUUUAAAGAAAGCGUAAUAGCUCACUAGUCGAGUCGGCCUGCGCGGAAGAUGUAACGGGGCUAAGCAAUAUACCGAAGCUGCGGCAGCAUGUUUACAUGCUGGGUAGGGGAGCGUUGUGUAAGUGGAUGAAGGUGAGUUGUAAAGCUUGCUGGACAUAUCACAAGUGCGAAUGCUGACAUGAGUAACGAUAAUGGGAGUGAAAAACUCCCACGCCGGAAGACCAAGGUUUCCUGUCCCAUGCUAAUCAGGGCAGGGUAAGUCGGCCCCUAAGGCGAGGCAGAAAUGCGUAGUCGAUGGGAAACGGGUUAAUAUUCCCGUACUUAUAUAAUCAGUGAUGGAGGGACGGAGAAGGCUAGGCAAGCUUGGCGUUGGUUGUCCAAGUGAAAGUGAGUAGGCUGAAGACUUAGGUAAAUCCGGGUUUUCAAGGCCGAGACACGAGACGAGCUCCCAAGGGAGUGAAGUUGUUGAUGCCCUGCUUCCAGGAAAAGCUUCUAAACUUAUGAUUAUAUGAACCGUACCCCAAACCGACACAGGUGGUCAGGUAGAGAAUACUAAGGCGCUUGAGAGAACUCGGGUGAAGGAACUCGGCAAAAUUGUACCGUAACUUCGGGAGAAGGUACGCCUCUGUUUGUGAACACUUCGCGUGGUAAGCAAAUGGAGGCCGCAGUGACCAGGUGGCUGGGACUGUUUAUUAAAAACACAGCACUCUGCAAACUCGUAAGAGGACGUAUAGGGUGUGACACCUGCCCGGUGCCGGAAGGUUAAUUGAUGGGGUUAGUUUUCGGACGAAGCUCUUGAUCGAAGCCCCGGUAAACGGCGGCCGUAACUAUAACGGUCCUAAGGUAGCGAAAUUCCUUGUCGGGUAAGUUCCGACCUGCACGAAUGGUGUAACCAUGGCCACGCUGUCUCCACCCGAGACUCAGUGAAAUUGAAAUCGCAGUGAAGAUGCUGUGUACCCGCACCUAGACGGAAAGACCCCGUGAACCUUUACUACAGCUUGGCACUGAACAUUGAACCUACAUGUGUAGGAUAGGUGGGAGGCUUUGAAGCACAGUCGCUAGAUUGUGUGGAGCCGUCCUUGAAAUACCACCCUUGUAUGUUUGAUGUUCUAACAUUGACCCCUUAUCGGGGUUGUGGACAGUGUCUGGUGGGUAGUUUGACUGGGGCGGUCUCCUCCCAAAUAGUAACGGAGGAGCACGAAGGUUAGCUAAUCACGGUCGGACAUCGUGAGGUUAGUGCAAUGGCAUAAGCUAGCUUAACUGCGAGACAGACACGUCGAGCAGGUACGAAAGUAGGUCAUAGUGAUCCGGUGGUUCUGUAUGGAAGGGCCAUCGCUCAACGGAUAAAAGGUACUCCGGGGAUAACAGGCUGAUACCGCCCAAGAGUUCAUAUCGACGGCGGUGUUUGGCACCUCGAUGUCGGCUCAUCACAUCCUGGGGCUGAAGUCGGUCCCAAGGGUAUGGCUGUUCGCCAUUUAAAGUGGUACGCGAGCUGGGUUUAGAACGUCGUGAGACAGUUCGGUCCCUAUCUGGUGUGGGCGUUGGAUGAUUGAUGGGAGCUGCUCCUAGUACGAGAGGACCGGAGUGGACGAACCGCUGGUGUUCGGGUUGUCAUGCCAAUGGCAUUGCCCGGUAGCUAUGUUCGGAACGGAUAACCGCUGAAAGCAUCUAAGCGGGAAGCCGGCCCAAAGAUGAGUCAUCCCUGACCUUUAAGGUCUGGAAGGGUUGUUAUAGACGAUGACGUUGAUAGGCAGGGUGUGGAAGCGUUGUAAGGCGUUAAGCUAACCUGUACUAAUUGCCCGAGAGGCUUAACCAUACAACGCCCAAGAAGCUUU